UCACGGGCUGCAGUUCAAAUUCUGUGACCAUUGCACAAAAUACGUCUCAAAGAGGUCUAUUGGUUAGAUGGGGAUCAUUUGACCCACGAGAGCUGGCCUGAUUCAAAGAACUGAUGAAGAACCCUGUCCAUUUGAAGCUUAGGUGGCCCAAUGAUGUAGAUAUGGAAAUAAUCUUAGAAGAUUGAGUAAAAUAAUAUAAUGUAAGAUUAGAUAUUAUUUGAUUAUGUAAAUACUACAAAUCCC
rnacentral:lncRNA from 1 species